GCCCCUCCCCACAGCCAAUGACCUUCUGGCUCCAGCCCCCUCCUUUCCCCUGUGAAAGCCACAUCACCCAGGGCUCCCUGCCGGCCAUGGGAAUGUGAGGCAAGAAGAAUCCAUCCCAUUCUGUUGCUGAUUCAAUAUCGCUGUAUAAUCGCCUCAAAUUUCCCCUCUUUUCUCUUAAAUGGUUGAAUGGUGAUAUAAAAUCUCCCCAGAUGUUGGUGCUUCUCUCUUAUGUUGGCAAAUAUUUAGUUUGUGCCCCAUUUUCUCCUCAGUUCUGAAAUACUGAUAUCAAAUUCUCGAAAAUCUUCCCGCUUUUUUCUCCAGGUGUAUGACCGAGAUCAGGGUUCUUAUCGUACUGAGCAUGGCCCUGGUCUGCCAGGCGCUGCAGAGACCCCAGGCUACAGACUAACGUCCACGUUUGCUCCAGAUCAUCCCGUCCUCCCAGGGGGCAGGAAAUGGCUGCAAUGGAGCUGGCUCAGGGGCCGGUGACCUUCGAGGAG